AGGUUUUUUGUCGUUGUUUUUUCAGAAAUCUGAGUUAUCUGUAGAUAAUAAUGAUGUUUUGGUUGUUGCUGCAACAAAUCGUCCUGACCUUGUCGAUGAAGCUCUACUUAGGCCUGGAAGAUUCGAUGUGAUCAUUUACGUUCCUCCACCAGACGUGCAGGGAAGGAAGUCGAUCCUAAAAGUAUUAACAAAGAACAUGCCUGUAAUGGACUGCGACUUAACCUGGCUAGCCGAAAAUACACAGUUAUUUUCUGGUGCUGACUUGGAAAACUUAUGCAGAGAGGCAGCUCUUGAAGCGUUGGAAGAAGAUGGCUUCGAAGCUCUUGCCGUAAGAAACGAUCAUUUCCUCUGUGCCUUGCGGAAGAUUAAGCCAUCUUUAACGAGAGGUCAACUUAAUUAUUACAGCACACUAUCCACGAGAUUUAUUAACAAAUCUUAAAGGUAGUGUUGUAACUUAAGCAAACAGAAAAAAAUUACUCUAAUUGUUUAACGAGCAGGA
rnacentral:lncRNA from 1 species